AUUGAACGCUGGCGGCAGGCUUAACACAUGCAAGUCGAGCGAGCGGCGGACGGGUGAGUCAUGUCUGGGAAACUGCCUGAUGGAGGGGGUUAAUUACUGGAAACGGUAGCUAAAACCGCAUACCAUCAGAUGUGCCCAGAUGGGAUUAGCUAGUAGGUGGGGUAAUGGCUCACCUAGGCGACGAUCCCUAGCUGGUCUGAGAGGAUGACCAGCAACACUGGAAAGGAGACACGGUCCAGAGUCGUACGGGAGGCAGCAGUAGAGAAUAAUGAAGAAUGGGCGCAAGCCGGAUGCAGCCAUGCCGCGUGUGUGAAGAAGGCCAUCGGAUUGGAAAGCACUUUCAGCGAGGAGGCGUUACUCGCAGAAAAAGCACCGGCUAACUCCGUGCCAGCAGCCGCGGUAAUUC
rnacentral:rRNA from 1 species